rnacentral:rRNA from 1 species
AUUGAACGCUGGCGGCAGGCCUAACACAUGCAAGUCGAGCGAGCGGCGGACGGGUGAGUAAUGUCUGGGAAACUGCCUGAUGGAGGGGGCUAACUACUGGAAACGGUAACUCAUACCGCAUCCCAUCAGAUGUGCCCCGAUGGGAUUAGCUGGUGGGUGGGGUAACGGCCCACCUAGGCGACGAUCCCUAGCUGGUCUGAGAGGAUGACCAGCCACACUGGAACUGAGACACGGUCCAGACUCCUACGGGAGGCAGCAGUGGGGAAUAUUGCACAAUGGGCGAAAGCCUGAUGCAGCCAUGCCGCGUGUAUGAAGAAGGCCUUCGGGUUGUAAAGUACUUUCAGCGGGGAGGCGUUACCCGCAGAAGAAGCACCGGCUAACUCCGUGCCAGCAGCCGCGGUAAUUC